GAUGAACGCUGGCGGCGUGCCUAAUACAUGCAAGUCGAGCGAACAGACGAGGAGCUUGCUCCUCUGACGUUAGCGGCGGACGGGUGAGUAACACGUGGAUAACCUACCUAUAAGACUGGGAUAACUUCGGGAAACCGGAGCUAAUACCGGAUAAUAUAUUGAACCGCAUGGUUCAAUAGUGAAAGACGGUUUUGCUGUCACUUAUAGAUGGAUCCGCGCCGCAUUAGCUAGUUGGUAAGGUAACGGCUUACCAAGGCGACGAUGCGUAGCCGACCUGAGAGGGUGAUCGGCCACACUGGAACUGAGACACGGUCCAGACUCCUACGGGAGGCAGCAGUAGGGAAUCUUACGCAAUGGGCGAAAGCUUGACGGAGCAACGCCGCGUGAGUGAUGAAGGUCUUCGGAUCGUAAAACUCUGUUAUUAGGGAAGAACAAAUGUGUAAGUAACUAUGCACGUCUUGACGGUACCUAAUCAGAAAGCCACGGCUAACUACGUG
rnacentral:rRNA from 1 species